AAAAUCAGAAACGCACGCGAGAACGGGCUCUCCUCUCUCUCCCUCGCCUCCCGAUCCCAGCCGCCAGGAGCCCCACCCCACGCGGCGGUCGAUCCGGAGGAGCUCGCGGCCAGGUUGGCGGCCGGGGGCCCCGGCGGCGUCGGCGGACCAAGAGGAGGAGGAGGAUGCGGGCCUGGGCGGACCGGGAGGAGGAGGAGGACGCGGGAAGGGGGAGGAGGAGGACGCGGGCCGAGGCAGACCGGGAGGAGGAGGAUGCGGGGAGGGGGAGGACGUGGGUCUGGGCGCCGUGCCGGUGGUCGUCGCGGUGCUAGCCAAGCCCGGCGCGUCAGCGGCCGCGCUCGUCCAUGCGGCGGCCGCGGCGGGGAGCUUUGCUUGCGGCAUAGAGGAUGGCGCGUGGGCCGUGCUUGCUGCUGGCGCCGUGGGGCACCUUACGCGGCUCCCCGCCCACCCGCACGGCAAGUCUGUACAUUGGCCACAACCGGAUCCACGGGGAAGAGGUGCUUGAGAUGGAGGAGGACAUCCAGAUUGAGGUGCGAGGUCGAUACCAACGCGGUCCUGGGAGGCGUGCACGAGAUCGAAGGCAGGGAGCUCCGGAAGGCAGACGGGGGCAUCGCCUCACUCUCUAAAUUUACACUUAUCUACUCCCUCCGUUCGGAAUUACUUGUCUCGGAUAUGGAUGUAUCUAGAACUAAAAUACAUCUAGAUACAUCCAUUUCUGUGACAAGUAAUUCUGAACGGAGGGAGUAGAAUCCAGUGCUUCAUGACCAUGGCAAUAUUGGCUUGACAAAAACGAUAUAUAAAGUAGUAUCUAUCUUCUUUUUCAGUUGUAUGAAUUUGGAACUGAGUUCUAAUGGCAUACAGUUGUAUGACGUGCUUUGAUUAUGCUCAAAACUGUUCAUUCCAAUGCUUGAUCGGAGUGCAGAUUAUAUAUCAACAACCAGGAACUACCAUACAAUCUUCAUAUCACACAAUCCACCUAUGAGUAUGAAGAUCCGUGACAAGGCAAGAGCAAUCAUGAGGCCUUAUAUGCUUAUCUAUCUCAUCCAUUGAUGAUCUCUUUCAAGGAACAGAAGGACUUCUUGUUCAUUUAGAGAGGAUCAAUCUUUUGAUUUUGGUACUUAAUAAACUAAAUCUUGAGCAUUGGAGGAGGUAGCCCCUGGACUGGUGAAGAGGCAAAUGGGGACACGAGGAGGUUCAUGGUGGUUCCAGGCUCAUCUCUUCGGUGAGCAGCAGUGCGCUACGUUGGACAGUUACCAAGGCUGGACGGAGGUGUGCCCGUGCGGCCGGACGGUGUCGUCCUGGUCGAGCAGAUCACCGUACCAAGGCUGCCUGCCGGACUCCAAUUCCCUACCGCUGUCAAGCUCUAGAUCAAGCUCCACAUGGACCUGUCUAUCCGUGCGAUACUGUGUUUCCUCUGGUGGCCGUCUGUUCCGCUUGGCGUUUCGUCUGGAUCUGAGAGGAGAAGGCCUCAAGCAGGGAGAUGAGGAGGUUCAUGGAACCAUAGAAGUUUUCAGAUGAGAUUAGUUGAAAGAAAAGGGUAAUUUCGCAUGCUGCCAUGCGAGAGUCAGAGGUGGGUGAGUUCCCUGAUCCCCGGCUGUAGCAACAUUGGCCACCACUCUAUGCGCAUCUGUGCCGCCAAAAUCAGAUUUCAUGUAGGCGUAUCAAGCAGAUUGUGAAGAAAAUGUACCUGAAGAUGGUUCCUCAACAUGAGAAUCCGAUUAACAUUGUCUUCAAGAAUUAAGGCAAAUUGUUUGUAUGUCAUUAAUCCUCUCCUGUGAAGAUUCAGAAUCAUAAAAGAUAGUAUUCAGGUACAGAUGGACAGGCUUCAUGUUCAGCAAUUUGACACACACGGUGGAGAUUUAAUGGACUAACUACUUUUUUUAGAGAAAGAAGUGGGCACAAGUAGACUGGAAAAACACAAAACAGUGGGAGAUGUCAUGUUCAGCAGCGACAACACCAUUGCUCUUCAUGUUUUAAGUUAAAGUUGUAUUACUUCAGAAUGAUUAGUCAAAGGUCGGUGAUUGUUAGAGGCCUGAAGUUAAUGUGAGAGGAAGGAGCAUGAGUGGUCUUUUCAAUACAGUAUUUUUUCCUUACUGGCAUAGGUUGUCAAGGAUUGUUCUAUCCGUCUGAGAGAAAUGUGUUCAAAGUGAAUUCUUCUCAGGACUGAGACUUAUUU